CGGCCAUGUUGUGUGUGGCAGGGUUGGCACCGCGCAUGUGUUUCCGGUGUGCUGCAUUGUGGGAAGAUGGCGGCUUCCGGUGUAACGGGGUUGUGAGUGUGACAGAAAUCUUUGUCUCUGGUGACGUCCAGCAUCUACAAGGAUCAUGAGGAUGGUGUUCUGUGGUCGGGUGAAUCCCAUUACUGGGUCAUUGGAUUGGAUAGAAGAGGAUGAGAAUUAUGAUUAUCACCAAGAAAUUGCCCGGUCUUCAUAUGCUGAUAUGCUCCAUGACAAGGACCGUAACGAGAAGUAUUACCAGGGAAUCCGUGCUGCAGUGAAGAGAGUGAAGGAAAGAGGAGACGAGGCCAUUGUUUUAGACAUCGGGACUGGGACUGGACUCUUAUCCAUGAUGGCUGUCACUGCUGGGGCGGACUACUGCUAUGCCAUUGAGGUAUUCAAGCCUAUGGCAAAUGCAGCUGAGCAAAUAGUGAAGGCAAAUGGCUUUGGUGACAAAAUCAAAGUCAUCAACAAGCAUUCUACAGAGGUGACAGUGGGACCAGAUGGAGACAUGAUAAAGCGAGCCAACAUACUAAUCACAGAACUGUUUGAUACUGAGCUUAUUGGAGAGGGGGCUCUGCCUAGUUAUGAACACGCACAGCAUAAUCUUAUGCAGGAGCAUUGGGAAGCAGUCCCUCACAGAGCCACUAUUUAUGCACAAGUGGUGGAAUCGCACAGACUCUGGAGUUGGAACAAGCUCUUACCCAUGCAGUUGGAUAGUGGAACCAUUCAGCCACCACCUGACAUGAAAAGCUGCCCAGGAGCCCCCUCAGUAUGUGAUGUCCAGCUGAGCCAACUAAAGCCAGAUGAUUUCAGACCACUCAGUGACAUUCUAGUUGUCUGCAGAGUGGACUUUAGCAAGCAGAUCAGCAGUUCUACAGUCUCUCACAUUGUCAACUUCACAUCUUUGGCCAAUGGAACAGCCCAGGUGGUGUUGUCAUGGUGGGACAUUGACAUGGACCCUGAAGCUACAAUCAUCUGCAGCAUGAAACCAAGCUGGUUGUAUCCUGAGCUGUAUCCUGUGCCGUGGAGGGACCACUGGAUGCAGUGUGUAUACUUCCUACCCGAGGAAACCAAGGUGACACAAGGGGAGGAGGUUUGUCUUAUUGCUCAUCAAGAUGACUACUGUGUAUGGUACAACAUGACAAUGCCGAGUGCUGCACAUUGUCAUUCAGCUGAGAUUCCUGCCUGCCGCUGUGGGGCUCACAUCAUUUGGAACCGUGCACGAUUUGGGGAAUUAAAUGACCAAAGCAGAAUGGACAAAUACAAAGAAGCCUUAAAGAAGGUCUUGACACCAAGCUCUGUGUGUUUGUGUAUGAGUGAUGGCAGUCUACUGCCCAUGCUGGCACAUUCUGUUGGGGCCUCUCAGGUGUUCACAUUAGAGUCUUCUUCCAUGGCCCAGCAGCUGAUGGACAAGCUUUUAGAAACAAACCAGCUGAAAGAGACAAUUCACAUCUUACAGAAAUCUCCUGAUAAAAUUACUGCAGAUGACCUUGGGGAUAGGAAGGUAACUGCUCUUAUUGGGGAGCCUUUUUUCACUACAAGCCUCCUACCAUGGCACAACUUGUUUUUCUGGUACUCCCGUACUGCUCUCUCUGAACAUCUGGCCAAGGACUGCACUGUGUUCCCCAUUUCUGCCUCUUUAAAUGUCUUAGUUGUGGAAUUUAAGGACCUCUGGAGGAUUAGAAGUCCUUGUGGAAAUUGUGAGGGUUUUGACGUCAGUAUUAUGGAUGAAAUGAUAAAGAAAUCUUUAGAUUUUCGUGAAUCCCAGGAAGCUGAGCCUCAUCCUCUAUGGGAAUACCCAUGCAGGGCCCUUUCUGAUCCUACAAAACUUAUAACAUUUGAUUUCCGAGAGAAAGUUCCUACUGAAGAUAUUAGAGCAGAGGGUUCUCUGAAUCUUGUGAGGUCGGGUGUGUGUCAUGGGGUAGUGCUUUGGAUGGCCUACGAGCUCACAGAAGAUAUUUCUGUCAGUACUGGACUGCUCCAGGUGUCUGAUGAGACGGGUAGCUGUCAAUGGUAUCCAAAUCGCAAGCAAGGAGUUUAUUUUUUUAGCUCUCUCUGGAACCCAGGACCUACCCCAACAGACAGCAUGAGCACGGUCACCUACCAGUUGACAUUUAAGCCACAACUGGGAGACAUACGUAUGAGUUUCAUCCCGAAACCUGAGCAUUCAGGAUCUCUAGGCCAGAUUUAUAUCCAAAUACAUGAGGCUGGAAAUUGAGAAUGUGCAAGCAUAUCUUAAUAGAAAAUGUUUCAUUGCGAUGACGAACCAAGCAUGAAUUUUCAAAUUGCAACCGUACUCUGCAUUUAGACUGGGUGGAUUUGGACUGAUGGGCUUGAAGAAGCAGCGUGGUGCCGUGAAACGGCUGUCUUCUUACUCUGUCCUGGUAACCAGCUUUUAUUGCAAUAAAC